AGUCGAACGAGUUCUGAUUAUUGAAAGGUGCUUGCAUCUUGAUUUAAUUUUGAACGAGUGGCGGACGGGUGAGUAACACGUGGGUAACCUGCCCUUAAGUGGGGGAUAACAUUUGGAAACAGAUGCUAAUACCGCAUAAAUCCAAGAACCGCAUGGUUCUUGGCUGAAAGAUGGCGUAAGCUAUCGCUUUUGGAUGGACCCGCGGCGUAUUAGCUAGUUGGUGAGGUAACGGCUCACCAAGGCAAUGAUACGUAGCCGAACUGAGAGGUUGAUCGGCCACAUUGGGACUGAGACACGGCCCAAACUCCUACGGGAGGCAGCAGUAGGGAAUCUUCCACAAUGGACGCAAGUCUGAUGGAGCAACGCCGCGUGAGUGAAGAAGGCUUUCGGGUCGUAAAACUCUGUUGUUGGAGAAGAAUGGUCGGCAGAGUAACUGUUGUCGGCGUGACGGUAUCCAACCAGAAAGCCACGGCUAACUACGUGCCAGCAGCCGCGGUAAUACGUAGGUGGCAAGCGUUAUCCGGAUUUAUUGGGCGUAAAGCGAGCGCAGGCGGUUUUUUAAGUCUGAUGUGAAAGCCCUCGGCUUAACCGAGGAAGUGCAUCGGAAACUGGGAAACUUGAGUGCAGAAGAGGACAGUGGAACUCCAUGUGUAGCGGUGAAAUGCGUAGAUAUAUGGAAGAACACCAGUGGCGAAGGCGGCUGUCUGGUCUGUAACUGACGCUGAGGCUCGAAAGCAUGGGUAGCGAACAGGAUUAGAUACCCUGGUAGUCCAUGCCGUAAACGAUGAAUGCUAGGUGUUGGAGGGUUUCCGCCCUUCAGUGCCGCAGCUAACGCAUUAAGCAUUCCGCCUGGGGAGUACGACCGCAAGGUUGAAACUCAAAGGAAUUGACGGGGGCCCGCACAAGCGGUGGAGCAUGUGGUUUAAUUCGAAGCAACGCGAAGAACCUUACCAGGUCUUGACAUCUUUUGAUCACCUGAGAGAUCAGGUUUCCCCUUCGGGGGCAAAAUGACAGGUGGUGCAUGGUUGUCGUCAGCUCGUGUCGUGAGAUGUUGGGUUAAGUCCCGCAACGAGCGCAACCCUUAUGACUAGUUGCCAGCAUUUAGUUGGGCACUCUAGUAAGACUGCCGGUGACAAACCGGAGGAAGGUGGGGAUGACGUCAAAUCAUCAUGCCCCUUAUGACCUGGGCUACACACGUGCUACAAUGGAUGGUACAACGAGUUGCGAGACCGCGAGGUCAAGCUAAUCUCUUAAAGCCAUUCUCAGUUCGGACUGUAGGCUGCAACUCGCCUACACGAAGUCGGAAUCGCUAGUAAUCGCGGAUCAGCACGCCGCGGUGAAUACGUUCCCGGGCCUUGUACACACCGCCCGUCACACCAUGAGAGUUUGUAACACCCGAAGCCGGUGGCGUAACCCUUUUAGGGAGCGAGCCGUCUA
rnacentral:rRNA from 2 species